rnacentral:rRNA from 1 species
GACGAACGCUGGCGGCGUGCUUAACACAUGCAAGUCGAACGGAAAGGCCCUGCUUUUGUGGGGUGCUCGCGUGGCGAACGGGUGAGUAACACGUGAGUAACCUGCCCUUGAGUUUGGGAUAACUUCAGGAAACUGGGGCUAAUACCGGAUAGGAGCUCCUGCUGCAUGGUGGGGGUUGGAAAGUUUCGGCGGUUGGGGAUGGACUCGCGGCUUAUCAGCUUGUUGGUGGGGUAGUGGCUUACCAAGGCUUUGACGGGUAGCCGGCCUGAGAGGGUGACCGGCCACAAUGGGACUGCGAUACGGCCCAGACUCCAAUGGGGGGCAGCAGGGGGGAAUAUGGCACAAUGGGCGGAAGCCUGAUGCAGCAACCCCGCGUGCGGGAUGACGGCCUUCGGGUGGUAAACCGCUUUCGCCUGUGACGAAGCGUGAGUGACGGUAAUGGGUAAAGAAGCACCGGCUAACUACGUG